CAGCGCCGCGGGAAUACGUAGGUGGCAAGCGUUGUCCGGAAUUAUUGGGCGUAAAGGGCUCGCAGGCGGUUUCUUAAGUCUGAUGUGAAAGCCCCCGGCUCAACCGGGGAGGGUCAUUGGAAACUGGGAAACUUGAGUGCAGAAGAGGAGAGUGGAAUUCCACGUGUAGCGGUGAAAUGCGUAGAGAUGUGGAGGGACACCAGUGGCGAAGGCGACUCUCUGGUCUGUAACUGACGCUGAGGAGCGAAAGCGUGGGGAGCGAACAGGAUUAGAUACCCGUGUAGUCCCUGUCUCUUAUACA
rnacentral:rRNA from 1 species